GGAUGAUGACAGAGAACAGUGGACUCAUCUCAACAUGACGGACUGUAGGACAGGAUUGCUGUUUUUAACUCUCUGCUUGGCAGGUGUUAAAGGUCAGACUCUGACAGAAUCUGAACCAGCAGUUAUACAACCUGGAGAGUCUCACAGACUGACCUGUACAACAUCUGGAAUCUCAUUUAGUAGCAACACUAUGGUCUGGAUCAGACAGGCUCCUGGAAAAGGGCUGGAGUGGAUUGCUUAUAUCAAUUCUAAUAGUGCCUACAUCUAUUAUUCUCAGUCAGUCCGAGGCAGGUUUACCAUCUCCAGAGACAACAGCAGAGAGCAGCUGUAUCUCCAGAUGAACAGCCUGAAGACUGAAGAUUCUGCUGUUUAUUAUUGUGCCCGAUAG